rnacentral:rRNA from 1 species
AGGUGGCAAGCGUUGUCCGGAUUUACUGGGCGUAAAGAGCGCGCAGGCGGUCAGAUAAGUCGAAUGUGAAAGCCCCCGGCUCAACUGGGGAGGGUCACGCGAUACUGCUCGACUUGAAGGCAGGAGAGGGAAGUGGAAUUCCCGGUGUAGUGGUGAAAUGCGUAGAUAUCGGGAGGAACACCAGUGGCGACGGCGACUUCCUGGCCUGUUCUUGACGCUGAGGCGCGAAAGCUAGGGUAGCAAACGGG